AUUAACCAGAAAUCAGCCGCUCUGUUUUUGGUCUCCGCGCCGCAGUUCAUUCCCAGCUUCUUCUACUUCUACUCUGGAGCUCUUUGCAACAAGAGUAACAUUCCAAAAUCAACUUACCUCAGGCCUCAGGUUUCAACUAGGGUUUUUCGAUUUUCCAAUAGAAAUUGAUUAUCAUCGACUUCUAAACAUGGCAUUGCUCUUCAAGUUGAAGAGCCUCAGAUUGGGUUAUUCAAUACUUUCUUCUACAUUUGCUUCAAAAACUAAAAGGUUUGUUGUUGGAGAUCGAAAACCCUCCAAUUUUUCUCUUCAAAUUCAGUUACUCUGCCGACACUUCACCUCAGAAAUCUCGGCAAACCAACACAAUUUCACAGUCACUUACCUCAUAAACUCAUGUGGGUUGUCUCCAAAAGCUGCAAUUUCAGCAUCCAAGAAGGUCGAGUUGCAAACCCCAGAAAGAGCAGACUCCGUCUUGGCCCUUGUGAGAAACCAUGGACUCUCUGAAGCCCAGCUCUCAAAGUUUGUCAGGUUACACCCAGAAGUUCUUUUAGCCGAUCCUGAGCAAACCCUUCUGCCAAAGCUUCGGUUUUUCAUCUCUCUCGGAAUUUCAAAGGAGGACCUUGCGAAAACUCUGGCUUUCUGUCCGCAGAUUUUGUCAAGAAGCUUGGAGAAAGAGAUUUUACCCGAUUAUAAUUUCCUUAGGAGCUUGAUUCCAGAGAACAAGGUUGUUUCUGUUUUGAAGGGCCGCUCGUGGUUUUUCUUCGAAGGCCACUCCAAAAAUGUGGUGCCAAAUAUUGAUCUUUUGAGACAACUAGGUAUGCCUCAAUCAUGCAUUAAUCUGUUGCUGGCUCAUUAUACUAAUGUUCUGUUGCUAAAGCACGAAAGGUUUGGUUUAGUUGUGGGUAAGGUCAAGGAAAUGGGAUUUAAUCUGGAAAAAGCCACUUCCGUGUCUGCUCUACGUGUAUUGUGUGGUAGGCACAAGUCAGUAUGGAAUCGAAGUUGGGAACUUUAUGGUAGAUGGGGUUGGUCUGAUGACGAUAUUCUGUCUGCUUUCAGGCGGUAUCCGCAGUGUAUGAUUCACUCGGAGAAGAAGGUAACGGAAGUAAUGGAUCUUUUAGUGAACAACAUGGGAUGGCCGUCAAGAAAGAUUGCCCAAUAUCCUGUGGUCCUAAGCUUGAGUUUAAAGAGGAGACUGAUCCCAAGGUGUUCGGUUGUUAAGGUUUUGUUUUUGAAAGGAGUUAUAGAUGAAAACUUGCAUUUGGGUUCUGUGUUGCGGCCUGUGGAGAAGCACUUCCUGGAGAAAUUUGUAACUGCAUAUCUCAAGGAAAUACCUCAAUUGUUGAAUGUGUAUCAAGGGAAUGCUGCAGUGUUUUGCUUGGAAAAUUGCUUUUGAUACGAUACACGUCUUGCUUCUGUUGGGGUCCAAUUUAAACUCCUCUGCAGACAAGCUACUUGAUAAAUGGUUGAGAAAAUAUGACAGC